rnacentral:piRNA from 1 species
UUUGUCGACGUUAUGGAAAGU